UACGUAGGGGGCAAGCGUUGUCCGGAUUUAUUGGGCGUAAAGAGCGUGUAGGCGGCCAUACAGGUCCGUUGUGAAAACUGGAGGCUUAACCUCCAGACGUCGAUGGAAACCGUAUGGCUAGAGUCCGGAAGAGGAGAGUGGAAUUCCUGGUGUAGCGGUGAAAUGCGCAGAUAUCAGGAGGAACACCGGUGGCGAAGGCGGGUCUCUGGGUAGUAACUGACGCUGAGGAACGAAAGCGUGGGUAGCGAACAGG
rnacentral:rRNA from 1 species